rnacentral:rRNA from 1 species
UAGAGUUUGAUCAUGGCUCAGAACGAACGCUGGCGGCAUGCCUCAUACAUGCAAGUCGAACGCGGGGUCUUGGUUCGCCGGGGCUCUGAGUGGCGCACGGGUGAGUAGCGCGUGGGAACCUGCCCAGCAGUGGGGGAUAACCGAUGGAAACGUCGGCUAAUACCGCAUUCGCCGGAGUAAUCCGGGAAAGAUUUAUCGCUGUUGGAGGGGCCCGCGUCGGAUUAGCUAGUUGGUGGGGUAACGGCCUACCAAGGCUAUGAUCCGUAGCUGGUCUGAGAGGAUGAUCAGCCACACUGGGACUGAGACACGGCCCAGACUCCUACGGGAGGCAGCAGUAGGGAAUAUUGGACAAUGGGCGCAAGCCUGAUCCAGCAAUGCCGCGUGAGUGAGGAAGGCCUUAGGGUUGUAAAGCUCUUUCGCACGCGACGAUGAUGACGGUAGCGUGAGAAGAAGCCCCGGCUAACUUCGUGCCAGCAGCCGCGGUACGC